rnacentral:rRNA from 1 species
CCUACGGGUGGCAGCAGUCGAGAAUCAUUCACAAUGGGGGAAACCCUGAUGGUGCGACGCCGCGUGGGGGAAUGAAGGUCUUCGGAUUGUAAACCCCUGUCAUGUGGGAGCAAAUUACAACGAUAGUACCCCACGAGGAAGAGACGGCUAACUCUGUGCCAGCAGCCGCGGUAAUACAGAGGUCUCAAGCGUUGUUCGGAAUCACUGGGCGUAAAGCGUGCGUAGGCUGUUUCGUAAGUCGUGUGUGAAAGGCGCGGGCUCAACCCGCGGACGGCACAUGAUACUGCGAGACUAGAGUAAUGGAGGGGGAACCGGAAUUCUCGGUUUAGCAGUGAAAUGCGUAGAUAUCGAGAGGAACACUCGUGGUGAAGGCAUCUCACGAAGCCGCGAUUGACGCUGAUGCACGAAAGCGUGGGUAUCAAACAGGAUUAGAUACCCGUGUAGUC